GGGUGAAAAAUCGUAUUACAAUCAUAAGUAGACGAAAGAGAGGGUAACAAUAAUAACAUAACACUUACCCAGAAAUAGAAGUCAACAGUUAUCCACUGCACCCCGAAUUCUCUAGGACGCUCCGUCAAUCGCUUCCUCAGAAGGUAAAGGGUAACGUUAAUGUGUUGAAUCCACGAUUAAAUGCAUUGUAAAAGCUAAAAUUAAACUAUUGUACUAGCUUAUAAUGUGGUAAACAGAAACUAGUUACAAAUGAAGAACAAUUACUUACAUUGAUAUUCAAAGUACCCUCAGACUGAAGGAGUGUGGUAAAAAUCCCGACCAACAGUAGCCAAUCCAAAUAAGUCUAGUUUAUCGCUGGUACAAACUAAAAAUGAUAGGUUGUUAGGGAUAUAUGGACAUCGAGUUCAUAUUCAAUUGUUUGAAUGACGACCGAAAAUGAACUUACCUCUACGAACCCACCCAAUGUGUCAAGACGUCGAUGAAAACCUCCACAUCUGGCUUUGGGAUGAUCCAUAUGGGCUUCAGGACAACAACAAAAUCCUCGAUUAAACGACCAUCGCUAACUUCCCUUCACCAUAACUCACCUAUAUCCAUCCACCACCAUAAUUUACCACUCAUCCAUCAAACCACACCUUGUGCCGCAACAAAAAGAAGAAGGAGGACCCUUGGACGUGCUUGCCAUUCAAGUUGGAUUGUUGGAGCGUUUUUAGGUGUUUUCAUUCUUUUGUUUUCAAUGUCUAAAUUUGUUUAUCUUUACUUUGUGAGUAUGAGGAACUAAACCCCCUUAGAUAGGGGGGAAUUCGAAACCAUGUUCAUGCUUGCAAUAUGACUUGAUUACCUUCAGUUUUGAUUUCAUAAGUUGUGAAUUCAAUUUGUUUAACUGCUUGAUUGAUAACUUAUUCGUGUAUGUUUAUUAAGAGUGCACACUUAGUUUGCAUGCAUGAAUAUGAUGCUAGAGUAUAAGGGAGUUUCACCUAAUAGUUACAAACUUAUAUUUACAAGUAGUGGAGGUCGCUUAUAAACGAUCGCGUUAAAUAAAUUCUUGGCAGGAGUUUCAUGCUCAUCAUAGUAACGAAUGCCUCGUCAAUACUUAUAGUUUUCAUAAUGCUUAAUGAUCUUUGAUUGUAUCUUUAUUGUGCUGUUCACGUAAAGAACUUUUGAAGAAUGCUUGAAUUGUUGUAUGCAUUUUCCCAUCAAAUUCAAUAACUUAAGGAGAACUUGAAGGUUAAUUUAAGCGGACUUAAUUAACCUGGGGUGUUAAGUUUCAUGAUUGAUCGAAAGAACAACUGAAAAUUGGUUUAUGUACAAGUAUGUCAUGUGUGGAGAAGAACCUCCUAGCUAGCCUUCCAUCCAUUCAAUUUACUCAAAUUCGUGCAAAUUUCAUUAGUUCUUUAAUUUACUUGUUUUGUUUUCAAAUUCGUCAAAACAAAAACCCCCUUUACUUUAAAGUGUUUUAUUAGUCAAAAUCUAUUUUGAUUUGUGUUUUUAGGUGUCCCAAAAGUGUGUUAAAGUCCAAAUCUGCCUAGUUUGUGUUUUUAGGUAGAUUUGAGCGUUUUUAGCUUGUUUUGAGUCCUUUGAGUUUGUUUUAAGUUCUUUGAGUCUAGUUUAGUGCUUUUAACUUUGUUUAUAUGUUUUUAAGUCAGUUUAGAGGUUUUAGCAAGCCCUCCUAAUCCCCGGUUUAGAACGAUCCCUACUUGCAUUCUUUACUACAAUUUGACAACAAGAGGGUUUAAUUUGUGUGUUAAGUAAUUUUCGCAUCAAACAACCAAAUCUACAAAAUUUAAAGCGAUAAUGUCAAUAAGUUGCAGCGAAAACGAAUGCAAAAGUGCGUUCAACUUAUAACAACAUAAUAAAAUGGAAAUUACCUGAAAAGCAUAAGGAAACCCUCUCAAGUUAUAUGAGUCCCGGAUCGUUCCCCCCGGUUUCUCUACAACGUUUUCUUUUACAACCUUGUGGUAGGUCAAAGCAGUUGCGGAUAUGCUUGGCAUCCACACUUGGAAUGAUGCGGUUCCUUAAGGAUAUCUUUCCCAUUUUUCUUCAUCUUCUACGAACUGAAGCAGGUGGUAGUCAAUGGCUGACUCCUUCUCCUUGCCCAAAACAACAAAGUGGGUGUAGUACAGUAGAUCGAGCUUGUUGGCACAUGUUGAAUUACUCCACCAAUUGUUUCAUGGGUUAUCUUCUUCUUCCCCCUAAAAUAUAUGUGUCUAAGAUGACAUUCAUCAUCAUGCUCUUUGGGGAGGGGGGGAAUUCUUCGUAACUGAGUCCCAUCUGAAGGAAAAAUUUUGUCCUAGCUAAGAACAUGUGAGAACAUUUGAACACAUAAGCAAACUAAUAACACUUUAAAGUAGGCAUGCAUUCAAAAACAAUUCUAAAACCCAUGACUUUCAAAACCUAGUGAAUGGUCAAAACACAAGACUCUUUAACAAAAUUAAAGAAAAGAAAGGAUUUUGAGAUUCAUUAACCUUGAAGCUCAUCCUUGUUUACACAAGGGAUUCACCCAAGUGGGGGGCCUUCAAGUCACCUCCAAGCUCCUUAGAUCUUCCUUGUGUUUUUUUUCGUUUUGAUACUCCUUUGCUCCUUGAGGAUGUGAGGAAAGGAUCUCCAAGAACACCAAAGAUUUAGGGUCUCUAAGUCUCUACACCAAAGAUGUAGUGUGAAGAGAAGAUGGAUUACUUAGAGAGAUUUUUUAUGCUAGUUAAAGUCUCCCUACGUGGCCGGCCUCUAUAGAGAAAAAGAGAGAAAAAGUUUCUCUUAUUUGCCUCAAGAAAACCCUAGUGAGAGAAUGGCUAUAAAGUUGCCUUUAUACCACCUCACAUGUGAGUGGCAAACUUGCAAUUAAUCCAAGUUUGCAUCCACUCACCCUAUGGCCGGUUUUUUACUUAGUUAGUGGACUAAUUUCCAUUUAGUUUUAGUUGUCACACAACCUAAACUCAAUGGGCCUUGUGGACCAAAAACCCUUUUGGGCCCCGGAACCAAAAACCAACUUAAAAGCCCAAUACGAACCUUUCAUAAGAUUAAUUAACUAAUUAAUCAAUCCUGACAUUCUCAAUUAAACUAUUUAAUUGCUUAUCCAUCUCAUUUAUAUUUCUUCACUUUCAUCCUUACUUGGUGUACAGUCCAUUAGGUUCCAAUUAGCGAGGCAGUGGGCGAUUGUUACUCUUAACGAUCGAUUGUGAAUUGAAACUACAUUUCAAUUCUCCCUUUGAUGAAGAUUAGUGUUUGCUAAUCUUUAGGGCUUCCACAAACCAUGUGUGACACCUAGCAGUAUGUCAUGGCUACCCAAGCUAAGUAGAAAUGGUUGGAGAACCUAUCCAGUUGCAAUUACAAUGCAAUACGUGAAGGAAAAAAAUUGUCCGAGCUAAGAACAUGUAAGAACAUUUGA
rnacentral:lncRNA from 1 species